UUUUGACUUUUUCUCUACGGAGUUAUUCUUGACAGUAAGGUAACAGUUUGUUAAAACGCUACACUGAAGUUGUUAAAGCACAACUUUGCAAGCUAUUAUGUCUUGAUCCGGUUCCAUAAAGCGCUCGUUCCCUCUAUUUAGCUAACUCCAAGUGAUGCACGUUAGUGAUAUGAUGUCUACUAGGUAGUUUAUCUUACUUUACAACUACAGCCUUGAUAGCUUAGGUGUCAGUCUAACUACUGAAACAUAAUCCAAACUCUCGACUGUUGUAAAACGUAACGUAAGUUAAAAUGUGUCACAGUUUGGGAGUAUCGUUUGGGAGUAGGCUAACGUUAUAGCUAGGCAGGUUUUAGGCAAACACAUUAACCAGAGUCCGUCCGUGGACUUAUCCUAGAAACAGUGCAGUCAUUUUGACUUUUUCUCUACGGAGUUAUUCUUGACAGUAAGGCAACUUCAGCAUGGCAUCAAAUACAUUUUCUCCCCACUGUAUGGGUCUGAGGGCAACACAGUCAUUUUUGUGAUUGAACUGGGGACUGACUAUGCCAGAUCCAGUUUUCAUCCUCACCAAAAAGCUUGGUUGAAAUGUGAAGUCACUGAUGAUCAGACCAUCAAGAGAGGUAACUCUACUCAAAGCUACAUAUGCCUGUCCAGGUGCAAAUAUUUUGUGCAAUGAAACCACAGCCGUAGUGAGUGUUAAGCCUUGGACUUUAUGUACAGUUAUUGCCCAUGCUAGUCUCAAUGGAAAUUGCCGACGCAAUCCACCUUUGUAAUCAACUCGCUCUUCUUCAAGGAAGAUAGGUGUAGCCAUGUGCAAUUGUGAGUUAUCUGAAAUGUAUUGUUUACGUCUUUUUAUACCUAUGUCAUCAUCAUCAAAUUUAACAUAUACAGAGGUAGGGAAUUGACUUCCAGGCUGUAUAGCUACAUGCACCACUGAACCACAAACACCAUUAACUAAACCAUCUGACACAUCAAUAUUUUUAAUCAACAUGACACGUGCACCUUCACCUAUGCAUAAGU